UCCAUGAUGGUUUGCAGCGAUUUAUAGCU
rnacentral:sRNA from 1 species